CUAAUACUAUAUGAUUCAUUUGUUCUGUUCUUUCUCUCUCUUCAUGUUCCUUCCUUUCUAGAAUUUCGUUUCAUCCUAACCCUAAAUAUGAACCUGCAAUUUUGCUGCGCCGUAAAUCACAAUCAUUUUCCUGUGAAUGUACCAUUUCCGUUUCAUUUCAUCUCUUCGUUUUCGUUUUGAAUCCAGCUUAUUUUCAUUUUCAUUUUCGUUUUGAAUCUAUCGUUUUUCCUGAACCAGUUUCCUCCAUAGUCACCCUCUAUAUGUUAUGAAAAACAUAAGAUUAAGGGUUGUGGUGUUUGAUAGAAGGACUGAAAGAUUUGAAGCUACCUUGCUGUUUAUUACUCAAAUUGCUUAACUCAUUCAGGCACAAUUCUCUUUCUCAUGUUUCUAAUGCAACUUAGUCACUUUUGUGUUAUAUUAACUGUUGUAUCAUGGGUAUUAUGUAACAAUGUUUAAAUUGCAGAUAUUUCCCUUUUAAAAUGCAUUUUAUAGAGGGCUAACAUAUCUUAUACCUCAAUCCUGGUUGUAAUUAUUCAACACUAGUGAAUUUAAUCAGUUCAUGUCCUUGGGAAGCUUCUGAUUGUCAAAGAAGAUAAGAAGAUGAAAGCAAACUAUCUGCUAUUGCAAGGUCUUUAUAUUUUUAUGGCUUUAAAUUUGCAAGGUGUUAUGGCUUGGUUUGGACAAUUGUAUUUUGACUAUAUAUAUGUAACUUUGAGGUGGUACUAAAGUAUAGAAUUUGGCAUGAGCUAUUUAAAAGUCAAUCUCUCGUGUGAACUAUAUUGGUUGUUUAGAUAAUUCACUGGAACAGAGUUUCUAGAGCUGGAAUAAAUAUGCGGUCUAGAAACAUUGUUACAACUUCAGUACUUUAGAUGAAACAAUUAUAUUGAUUACAAUAUAUUUUUAUGUUUAUGACAUUAA